CGCUUAACAUUUGCCGUCAAAAAUUGUUUAAAAUAGGAAUGCCGAGUGAACCACCCCCCUAAAUUGCCAACUGAUUAAACGUGUUUCAUUAGCACUUGACUUUUGGAAAUAUAAUAAUCAUUACUUGAAACUAGUUAUCCCACUUCGCAUUGCUUACCCACACCUACAAAUACCUUAACAUCAAAUCUUUAUUUACCCUUUCCCUCUUCCAAAACGCCAGUUUGUUUUAAUAAUGCAAUAAAAAAAUACUCUAUGAACAUACAAGGAAUUACCAUAUAAUGGCAACAUUACGGCGUGGUAUGAUAUGUUAUGAUAUGAACAAGCAACAUUUCAAACUACAUAAUUAAGCACUAUCAAACAGAAAACACAUGUGACCACAUAGCCAUAUAAAUCACACACAUAUAUAUAUUGAAAAACUUCAUAAAUUCGAUUGUCCCAAUAAAAUCGAUUUUACC